rnacentral:rRNA from 1 species
CCAAUAGCGUAUAUUAAAGUUGUUGCAGUUAAAAAGCUCGUAGUUGAACCUUAGGCCCGUGCGGGCGGUCCGUCCUCUGGGCGAGCACUGCGUCGUCGCGGGUCUCACCUUCUGGCGAGCGCGGAUGCCAUUCAUUUGGUGUCCGCGGGAACCAGGACCUUUACCUUGAAAAAAUUAGAGUGCUCAAAGCGGGCUCUUACGUUUGAAUAAACUAGCAUGGAAUAAUGAAAUAGGACGACGGUUCUAUUUUGUUGGUUUCCGGGAUUGUCGUAAUGAUUAAUAGGGAUAGUUGGGGGCAUUCGUAUUCAAUUGUCAGAGGUGAAAUUCUUGGAUUUAUUGAAGACGGACUACUGCGAAAGCAUUUGCCAAGGAUGUUUUCAUUAAUCAAGAACGAAAGUUGGGGGAUCGAAGACGAUCAGAUACCGUCGUAGUCUCAACCAUAAACUAUGCCGACUGGGAAUCGGGCGAUGUUAUUUUUCGUGACUCGCUCGGCGCCCCGAG